rnacentral:misc_RNA from 1 species
UCGCUUGAAAUGCAGGUGCAGCUGGACAUUCUUCUGAGCUAAAAGCAUAUCUAUUUAGUCCCGUCAAACGGAUUAUUACUUUUGCUUCAGCUAAUACAAAGGUCGAAUGAACUACCAACGCUGAUUGCAGGAAAACUCGUUUCUUUAUUGAAACUUGUAAACUCGAUCUCAAAUCAAGUAAGACUACCCGCUGAACUUAA